rnacentral:rRNA from 1 species
CGGACGGGUGAGUAACGCGUGAGAAUCUACCUUUUUCAGGAUGGGGACAACCGUUGGAAACGACGGCUAAUCCCCAAUAAGCCGCAAGGUGAAACGGGAUUCCGCCUGGAGAGGAGCUCGCGUCCGAUUAGUUAGUUGGUGAGGUAAGAGCUUACCAAGGCAGCGAUCGGUAGCUGGUCUGAGAGGAUGAGCAGCCACACUGGGACUGAGACACGGCCCAGACUCCUACGGGAGGCAGCAGUGGGGAAUUUUCCGCAAUGGGCGCAAGCCUGACGGAGCAACGCCGCGUGUGGGAAGAAGGCUCUUGGGCUGUCAACCACUUUUCUCAGGGAAGAAGCCCUGACGGUACCUGAGGAAUCAGCCUCGGCUAACUCCGUGCCAGCAGCCGCGGUAAUACGGAGGAGGCAAGCGUUAUCCGGAAUUAUUGGGCGUAAAGCGUCCGCAGGGGGCACAUCAAGUCUGCUGUUAAAGGCUGGAGCUUAACUCCGGUAGAGCAGUGGAAACUGGUGUGCUAGAGGGCGACAGGGGUAGAGGGAAUUCCCAGUGUAGCGGUGAAAUGCGUAGAGAUUGGGAAGAACACCGGUGGCGAAAGCGCUCUACUGGGUCGCACCUGACCCUCAGGGAACGAAAGCUAAGGUAGCGAAAGGGAUUAGAUACCCCUGUAGUC